UACGUAGGGGGCAAGCGUUGUCCGGAAUCAUUGGGCGUAAAGAGCGUGUAGGCGGCUCGGUAAGUCUGCUGUGAAAGUCCAGGGCUCAACCCUGGGAUGCCGGUGGAUACUGUCGAGCUCGAGUCCGGAAGAGGCGAGUGGAAUUCCUGGUGUAGCGGUGAAAUGCGCAGAUAUCAGGAGGAACACCAAUGGCGAAGGCAGCUCGCUGGGACGUGACUGACGCUGAGACGCGAAAGCCAGGGGAGCAAACGGG
rnacentral:rRNA from 1 species